CUACUUGUUAGGGUUGUAAUGUUAAUGUCAUAUUACAUAUUUCACGUGUUAGUGUUACCAUUACAUAUUUCACCUGUUAGUGUUAGUAUUAGCAUUAGAUAUAUCACUACAAAAAUAAUAUAUUUUAGGAGGGGUUAGUUUCCAGAGGUUUUGAAAAUUUCGAAUAAGUUUUGACGGUUUUAAAAACCGCAGUUACCUCUUUUUUUUUUUAUUUUCUUCAAUUUUUUAGUUUCCUUCAAUUUUAAUGAAGGUGCCUUUCAGUUUUUCAAUUUGGGGACUGAUUAUAAUACUCUAAAUAAUACCCGCGCCAUUCAUUUCUUCUAGCUUUCCCUGAUUCUCUAGUUUCUCCCGAUCCCUAAUUCUUCUACCUUCACUCAUUUCUUCUACCUUCCCCGCGCCUUCUCUGCACCAUCUUCGUGUUGGUCUCCCCUUGUUAGGACUGAGCAAAGUGUCGAGGCGUGGAGACAUUUGUGGGUUGAGCGAGGCUUCGAGGCAGCGUGGAGGCGCCUUAUUGUUCGUCGAGGUGCUCUCGGAACUGAACCGUAGAUUUGCUCUCGGAAUUUCUCGCAUCUAUGGUUCACGCGGCUUAGAAAGCGGCAAGCAGUGUGACCUAGAGUUCGCGCUAGAAGAGGACAGGCCACUGAUCCACACAGUAUAGCUGAAAGAAUCAGUGUGGAGCUAAAGUUGUAGUAGCCCUUGCCGAGAAAAGAAAAAAUUGUGAAAGAUAUGUAGUCCUGAGAUAUGAAGCGCACACACACUUUGCGGAACUGCCUUUACUGCUUGUUAGAAGCAGAUCAGAUGGGAGUGGAGUGGAGAUGUUGAUGAUGCUGUGUCCAACAGGCCCAACAAGUUGAACACGACUCGCCAUCUGAGAACAACUUAACAUGCGUGGUCCAGACUCUUUUAGAUAGCAAUUUAGAUAUUAAUCGUUGCAUUUGAUUGAUUAUUUUGAGUAAAUAACUUCUUAGAAGCAUGAAGAUGCUUGCUAAUAUCCUUAGGAAAUUCGUGAGUUUACACUUAUUUUCAAGAAUUAUAUUUUGAUAUAUAAUAAUAAUGCGAUGCCAUCAACAUUGAUCAUGUUAUAAACUUAAAGAUGAUAUGCAUUAAUAAACAUCUCUAGACACGCGGAAACACACAACCCAUCUGUCUGCUCCUUCAUGAGCUGGUGUUCUAUUUUCCUUCUUUAUGAGUGUUCGUCUAUCAACACAUUGGAAGUAGCCAUUGUCAGCCUUUGAACCACCAGACCAUCAUAGUUGGUACACACUACAUUCUAACUUAGAGCAAAGGUAGUUAGGAUACUGAGUGGUUAGUUAGGUGGUUUUGGUAUGAACAACCAUUCAAGAGUUUAUUACUAUUUGGAUUAUAAUUAAAGAGGCACUCAACCUUCUAACAGAAUUAAAAAAGUCUAAGUGUGAGCAACAAAAUAAAACUCUGGGAAUUUAUGAGAAAGCGGAGAGUAAUAUCUGAGAAUAUCUAAUGAAGCCUUUCACUUUCUUAUCUGGUGAAAUAAGCGACGAGACAUUACAUCUAGUGUUUGUUGUACAGUAGGUGAAAACUGUUACCACAGCUAACUAACUCCAGAAAAGCUAUUCCAACUAACAACCUUGAACAACAACUAAGGCUUUCAGAAAUAACUCACUUCUGUAAUAGAAUGUUAUGGCCCAAGCUACUGACCCUUUAAGCCCAAUUGAGCUGACAGACCAACUGGAAGCAGCAGGGCCAACACGACAAACUGCAUGCAAACGUAAUAGUGUUAAGCCCAACUAUUUCAAGGGCUAUGAACAAUUUUAGUUUUGCAGAGAGUAAUAAGAACAAAACUACCUGCAAGCGUGAGAAGGAUUUCAUUGCAAUUUUGUUUUGCUUAGUCGUGAAAUUUGUCACACAUGAUUGUGCUAUAUGUAAUAGUAGGAUUAGGAUAGAAUAAAAAAUGCAGAAAUAGAAUGUUCAGUUUGCUUCAAUUUUGUUGCAAGGAGGCGGCUCCCCUCUAAAGAAGCAGUUUUUCUCUUCUGUUAUUACUCUUUUGCUUGCAGUACCUUAUACGUGUCUUAGUGUGAACAUGGAUGAUUUUAGAUUGAAUUGACAAAAUAAGACUCUAAAAAAUUGAUGCAGUUUUGUUUCUUUUGUGGAAUCACAUUUUUAGGUAGUAAGUUGCGACUAUACAUCUGCAUGUGCUUUAUAAUAUAAUUUGAGAAAAGUGAGAAAAAAAAUUAAACCAACUCUGGAACAAAUGAAUCGUCUAUAAAUGAUAUUAUACCCCAUUACCAAUUUAGAAGUAAGAGAAUGUACCCUGUAAGAGUAGUGAUAGAAUAAACCCAAAACUUUUUGUUUUCUUAGCACAUCCAAUUCACUGUAGAGAUAGACUAGGAUGCAUAAGUAGGGGUUUCACAGCUUGGUUGAUUAUAUAUAAUUCAAUUUCACCAGAACUUUUAAUACACACUGUAAGGACCUAGUAUUUCAUUUUUAUUUUAUUAUUACUUUAGAAGGGGUGGGGGAAGCAAUUAGAAGUCACGAGAGUUGUCUUUUUGGAAGUGGAGAGCAAGAAAACGUCCGUGUUUCUCUUGUGUUUGGCACCAUGCAAGAGCAUAGUGAUAUGCCACACCCGUGAACAUUAUUAUAGUUCACAUGCCAUCCUUAUUCUUCUUGGCUUUGUUACGUCCGUGAGAGCAGAUUAACUGGGGAAUAUUGGAAGAAAGUAGAUGCACUGUCUUGGCUGGAAAUUGAAGAGCUCAGAGCCCUUAAAGAGCACGCGGUGCACACUUGGAGGAACUGUCCGGACGAAGAGCUCGUUCUUUCUUCAAUGAUGGAUCCAGAUGCACAUGGAUGGUUGCCCAGCUGAUGAAGGAACACGAGAAUGGGAGUUGCACCGUGAAGAAAAAUAAGAGAAAAUGUGAUUCAUUUCCUGCUGAAACCGCUGUCACGCCAGGAUGGAAUGCCGUUUCCAGUGAGCUGCACGGUGACCAUGUUGAGUGAAGGAACAGCAGACCCAUGAGAAAAUAUGAUGCGAGAAACACACACGUGCAUGGAGAAGAUUGUUCACAGCCAAGAGAAGAGGUGCAGGAGCCACCUUUAGAGGAGAAAACGUUCCAGCAACAAGCUGGAAGUCUCACGGCCCUGGUCCAGCUGAGUUGGAAGAAGAAGCACACGGCCAUGACAACAGCUUGGACCAGCACCAGCAGUAGAAGUUCUCGGUGCUGCAGUUACUGACUGGAAGGAAGAAUACGCACGUUACCCUUGAGGAGAAGAAGCGCCCAGCAGCCACCAUCUUCAUCAUCCAACAACCACUUUCACGCAACCAGCAGAGAAGCCUUGAGCCAUCCAACACGGUGCACCAGCGGCAGGAGUUGCAGUCAGUCACGGCCUCUCGUCCAUCAACACCAGCAAUCCGGUAUCACCCAGCAUGCAGCCACCACAUUCACGUUGAUUCCAGAGAAGAUAAGAGAAGGUGCACGGUGAAGAAAUGAAGCUCACGUCUGGCUGGAUGGAUGAAGGAGGAACGAGAGUUUGCAUGUGAGAAAGUGGUCCUGGAAAUGAGAAAGUGCUUUGCCAAUGAAGAAACCAAACACAAAUGGAUGGGUCUCUGCCUUUGUCACGUCGAGGAGCACAAAGAUAUGGAAUAAUGACUGAGAGUAGUGAAAAAGGAGGUACUGGUUUCUGAAAUGGAGAAGAAGCCUUGCUACCUUGCUGCCAUUUUUGUGAGAGAAGGAGAAGUUCAAAGCUUGGUGGAAUUACUUGGAGCUGCCAGUUUUGGAAGAGUUAGACUCAAAGAAUUCACAAAGGAAGUCUUCAAGAGGUAAGGAGUGCUAGAUUUUUCGUUUUGAUUAGUUAAUCUUACUGUUUUUGUAGAAAUCUAAAAGCUUUAGAGUUAAAAAUGGAGGUUUUCUGGUUUUCUGGAAAACCUGCGAUUCUGCAGAUUCGUCCAAUUUGGUUUCAAAUUGGACGUUCGUCCAAUUUGGUUUCAAAUUGGACGUUCGUCCAAGACUUGACAAAUUGAACGUUCGUCCACGUUGUUUUGAGCGCUCGUCUCUUUUUCUCUGUCGAGCGUUCGUUUCUGAACGUUCGUUCGUCUUAUUAACGAGCGCUUGUCCAAACAGUGUUGUCGAGCGUUCGUCCUUAAGUUACAUGUUGAGCGUUCGUUCUUAAAUAUUCUGAACGUUCGUCCUAACAGUAUAUGACCAAAUAUAGGUGGGUUUCUGAGCGUUCGUUCAUAUAUAGUGGAUUAACGAGCGUUGGUGAUAAGGAUUUGAGUAGAGAGCGUCUGUGUGCGCCUGUGAACGUUCGUUCAUUCCAGGUAAGGGAAGCUUACUUAAUUUAACUGUUUUUGAUGUAUGCCUGUGUGAACGUUCGUUAUUUGAUUGUAUGAAUAUAAUGCAUGAUAUUGGAUUCUGAGAUGCAUGAACGUUCGUUUGUAAGGAAUGAAAAUGAUAUAUGACUAUGUUACAUGUGAUUUUAAUGAGAUUUUGAACUGGAAAGUAUAUGGAAUGAAAUAAGAAAACAAUCCCCUGUAAUUACGUACGUUCAUUGCUGAACGGUCUCUGACCGUUCGGUUUCUCUGAUGAAAAUAACAGAAGUGGGAUUCGUUCAUUUGGAUCGAUCCCUUGUUGAGGACGAGCGUCCUCGUGUCUAAAGUCUACCAGCGUUCGGUAUCACACUGAGCGUUCGUCCAAAUAGUGCUCAGUUUUGAAAUAGCGUUCGUCCAAAUAGUGCUCGGUUUUGAAAGAGCGUUCGUCCAAAUAGUGCUCGGUUUUGAAAGAGCGUUCGUCCAAAUAGUGCUCAGUUUUGAAAUAGCGUUCGUCCAAAUAGUGUUCAGUUUUGAAAUAGCGUUCGUCUAAAUAGUGCUCGGUUUUGAAAGAGCGUUCGUCCAAAUAGUGCUCGGUUUUGAGCUGAACGUUCGUCCAAAUAGUGCUCGGUAUUGUUUUGAGCGCUCGUUCUCAUUUUCCACAAAAUAGCGUUCGUUAUUUGAUACGAACGAGCGUCUUUGGUCUCGCUCUUAGCGUUCGUUCUUUGAUCCGAACGAGCGUCUUUUUGUCUCGCAAAACAGUGUUCGUUCUCGUUCCCCUUGUGAUGAAACGUUCGGUAUUUAAAUGAUGAAUAGUUCAUGAUGAACAGUAAAUGAUGAAUAGUAAAAUGACAAAAAUUAUAUGAUGAAGAUUGCAAGAGAUGAAUGGAAAUAUUGUGACUUUUGAAAGAACGUUCCCUUUUAAUGGCUUCCUUAUGAAUGAUGAAAAUGAUUAUGGAAUGAUGACUAGUGAAUUAUGAAUAUAUGAUCAAAAGUGAAUGAUGAACAAUAUUUGCAAUGAUAUGAAAGUUAUGAAUAUUGAACGAGCGUUCCAGGCAGGAACGACUCAUGGUUGAAUGUGGAAAGUUGUAAAGUAUGACUGUGGAUAGUUAAUGCUGGCUGUUCAUCCUGAUGUUCCGUGAGUGCUCAUUCUCAAGUAGAGGACGCACGUCAUGCGUGGGAACGGCAGGAGGUCCUUAGUCCAUAAGUUAACGUGGGCGACGUAAGAACGGACUAACCUCGGGUGGCAGCUGAUGAGGAUGCCAGUUACCACACCACCCGGGUGCGUGAACGCCUGUAACUACGCAGAUUUCAUACAGUCCGGACAGUCAGUCGUGUUGAGUUUUAUUUUGUACAUGCGUUAAAUUAUGUGAUGUAUGAUGAAUGUGUACGUUGAUAUGUAUGUGUGAAAUGAACUGUUUGCUAGAAAUUAUAUGUUGAUGCACGAGUUAAAUUACGUAAGCUUACCCUUUCGUUUUCCUUGUGUUGUCAAUUGUCCUUGUACGUCCGUCUUGUCAUUGCGAUGAUCAUCCGUGUGGAUGUGAGCAGAGGGAGACGAGCGUUUGGAAGAAAUGCUGAAUGAAGAGAACCUGAUUAAUGUUGAAGUGAAGACCGAACAGUGAGACCGCUCGGCCAGUAGUGUGAUUGUUGGAUUGAAUGGUCGUUCGACCAUCUCUCGUUUUCAUUUAAGUUUAUUUUGGACCGUUCGGUAAAUGUUUUCUGUAAACCGUUCGGUCAGGUUUUUAUUUUGUGCGUUCGACUUCGGAUUGUGAUUCGUGUUGUAAGGUGUACGGCUUGGCUUUUGUUUUUUUUUUAGCGAAAAACUGUACUGAAUUAUUAUUAAAUGUGACUUUCUGAAUUUAUAGUUAUGACUGUAUUUUUGGGAUGUCACAUUAGUGGUAUCAGAGCAGUUUUGUUCUUUUAAGGACGUUGUAGGUUGUGAGUACACCAUGCUUGUUUUGAUGUGUGCUCAACGUUCGUUUAUUAAGUAAAUUUAACUCUUUGAACUUAACUAACGAUCGUUUUCUCUGCCUGAGAGAACAAAUGGUACCAAGAUCAUUUCCUCAACCUAUCAAUCUUGAGGCGCUUGAACAGCAGAACGCUGCUUUGGUACAUCGGAACACGGUCACAUUGCAAAGUUUGGAGGUCACAUGGGCAAACUUUGAAGCUACCCAAAGACAGCUGAUGGAGAUCAUAGGAAUCACUAGGGACAUUAUCAGAACGCCCAUUUCCUUUGGGGAUCACUGGACCAAGUUGAGUUUGGAGUGUUUCCGCCAACAUCAUCCAGCUAAGUUCACUGAGAAGUGUCUCCCUGAUGAGGUGGAAAUGACUCAAGUAUUAGACGAGUGUGUGGCGGAAUUAGAACAGCACAAGGAAGUCUUGACGGAUGUUAGUAAUGGAGCUGUGUGUUUUGUAGUAUUAAUUCAACAGAAAUUGUGAUAUACAAGUUCGGGUAUCUCAAAUUCAAUUAUGAUGCUUUAUUGGUUAUAUUCUCUGAAGCGGUUAGUGGUAUAAUGUGUGUAGAUACUUGAAGGAUAUAGUUUUACGCACUCUUGUUUCAUAUUUGGAACAUUAUAAGAAUGUGUUAGCUUAAGAGUAUAAAGAGGAGAGUUAUAUUCACAGAAAGAAAAUCUUAUUUUCGGAAAUAAGACAAAUACCAUAUAUUUCAUUAAUUUAGGCCUUUAAGGCCAUGGAGACUACACAUAUUUUUCCAAACCUCAUAAGUUAUAAUCAGAUACCAUAAUAUUCGUGUGCAAAUGGUACCACACACGUUAAACGAACAAACAUAAAAAGUAAAGCAGAUAAAUAUUACAGUCCAUAAAAUACGCAAAUAAAGUAAAUAAACAAAAGCAAAUAAAAGAUGUUCGGGGUUCGAUCAAUGUUGAUCGUUAAUAUUACAGACCAUCAAAAAUAAAAUAAAAUAAAAUUUCAGUGAAAAAAUUCUCGAGCCGGUUGUGGUGGUCUAAGGGAGAGCUCCGUCGAGGGAGCUCUGGUUCGGAAUGCGAGAGGCAUGGGUGGAGGAAUCUGUCGUUCGUCUCUGUCGUCGUCAAUGAUGAUCGGAACUGGGAACAAAUUCAGCAACCUCGGCGUCCUCAUGAUUACCCAGUCAAAUUCUUCCAACAAAGAAAAUUGUUUCAAAAAUGGAGAAGGAAGAGUAAAAUUCAAACCAAAAAUAGUGGUAAUUAGGUUUCUUACCAUACAUGUACAGCGGCAGCUGAGAAAAUAGGGUGCCAGUAGGGUCUAAUUCUGCUUGCCAGCGCCUGACCCGGUUACCAUGAUUGUUGAACCAGCAGUGUACAUUAUAUUCACUGACUUCUCCGAAGGCCCUGAUUCGAGAUGCAAUCUCGACGACUUGGGCUCUGCUGGGAUGUGUGACCCCGUGGUUGAAGAUAUUGGUCAUCAUUUUGACCUGAUCAUCAGUGGGUUUCCACCGCUGACUGGUGUACCUCUCCAUCUCCAUAUCACUCAUCUUCCUCUGAGAGUAUUUCUAAAGCAUAAAGAAAUAAUAAAAUAAAAUAAAAAGGGCAAAAACAGAACAAAAAUAUUCAGUGUUUUCUUUAUUUGUUUUGUUCCCUUUUAGGUUCUUUUGUCCAGCCUAUCAUUGUUGUUUUAGUGUCCAGUAUCAGAUCUGUUUCACGGUCCUCGCAAAGGUUCCUAAACGGAUCUAUGUCAAUUUGUCCAUGUCCGGUGCAUACAAAUAAAUUUCUCUUUUUAAGUUUUCUGUUUUUAUGGGGUACGUGGCGUUGUUCUACCCGAUUGUCUCUGCCAUACCCUCAAUCGAGGGGAGAUUAACGUCUGGUUUCCAGCCGAUAUACCCCUUAUCUUAGUUAAUGCAGUGUGUUCUUAGUUUUAGUUAAUAAAAGGAAAAUAGAAGAAGAAGAAAGCAAAUGCAGGAGCAGAAGUAAAAUAACAAAACGGAAAAUAAAGAAGAAAGCAGAAUAAAAUUGCGGGAAAUAAAAGCUCAGAAAAGAAAAAGAAAAGUACAUGAAAGGAAGCAGAAAGAAGAAAGGGAAGAAAAGAAACGAGAAGUAAAGAAAGAGGAGAAGCUGAGUAAAGGAAAGGAAGAGAUAAGAGAAAAGAAAUACUUACUCGAGGCGGAGCAAAGCCUUGGAACUUGCAGAUUUGAAACUUGCCGGAAGACUCUCCGAUCUACCACACUCAGUCGUUCUGAUCUCGUGAAACCCCCACACUCAGAACCCUCGAUGCUCAGAUCUCACUCUCUCACUAGCUCAGAUCUCACACACACACACUCUCUCUCUCUCUCUCUCUAUCACGCGUUCUGUAAUCUCAGCGUUUUGACGUGUCGCCCAACGCGGCUAACGCCUUACUUAUAGCCAAAGAACUUCACUGUGCUCACAGUUCCGGUCAUGCAUAACCGGAACCUUCAAUAGUAUCGGUUAAAAAAAAAUAUAUAAUAAAAAUAAUAAUAAUUAUUAUAAUAUUGUAUUAUGCGAUUUUUUUUUUUUUUUUGGUGUGAGAUAUGUAAUAUGUAUGUUGACCCAGAACUCUCUCCUUGUACGAAGGGUGAGAGUUGUCCUCUUUGAGCGGUGGGAACUGCCUGGAUAAGUUUAGUAUACGAGUUGUAGGAAGCAACUCUACCUAAGAAUUUGAGGACAAGAUGAGAGAGAUGUAUCUCAACUUGUUUUGGUAAACUUAAUUUUCGAGGACGAAAAUUUUUGUUGUUGGGGAGAAUGUAAGGACCUAGUAUUUCAUUUUUAUUUUAUUAUUACUUUAGAAGGGGUGGGGGAAGCAAUUAGAAGUCACGAGAGUUGUCUUUUUGGAAGUGGAGAGCAAGAAAACGUCCGUGUUUCUCUUGUGUUUGGCACCAUGCAAGAGCAUAGUGAUAUGCCACACCCGUGAAUAUUAUUAUAGUUCACAUGCCAUCCUUAUUCUUCUUGGCUUUGUUACGUCCGUGAGAGCAGAUUAACUGGGGAAUAUUGGAAGAAAGUAGAUGCACUGUCUUGGCUGGAAAUUGAAGAGCUCAGAGCCUUUAAAGAGCACGCGGUGCACACUUGGAGGAACUGUCCGGACGAAGAGCUCGUUCUUUCUUCAAUGAUGGAUCCAGAUGCACAUGGAUGGUUGCCCAGCUGAUGAAGGAACACGAGAAUGGGAGUUGCACCGUGAAGAAAAAUAAGAGAAAAUGUGAUUCAUUUCCUGCUGAAACCGCUGUCACGCCAGGCUGGAAUGCCGUUUCCAGUGAGCUGCACGGUGACCAUGUUGAGUGAAGGAACAACAGACCCAUGAGAAAAUAUGAUGCGAGAAACACACACGUGCAUGGAGAAGAUUGUUCACAGCCAAGAGAAGAGGUGCAGGAGCCACCUUUAGAGGAGAAAACGUUCCAGCAACAAGCUGGAAGUCUCACGGCCCUGGUCCAGCUGAGUUGGAAGAAGAAGCACACGGCCAUGACAGCAGCUUGGACCAGCACCAGCAGUAGAAGUUCUCGGUGCUGCAGUUACUGACUGGAAGGAAGAAUACGCACGUUACCCUUGAGGAGAAGAAGCGCCCAGCAGCCACCAUCUUCAUCAUCCAACAACCACUUUCACGCAACCAGCAGAGAAGCCUUGAGCCAUCCAACACGGUGCACCAGCGGCAGGAGUUGCAGUCAGUCACGGCCUCUCGUCCAUCAACACCAGCAAUCCGGUAUCACCCAGCAUGCAGCCACCACAUUCACGUUGAUUCCAGAGAAGAUAAGAGAAGGUGCAUGGGGAAGAAAUGAAGCUCACGUCUGGCUGGAUGGAUGAAGGAGGAACGAGAGUUUGCAUGUGAGAAAGUGGUCCUGGAAAUGAGAAAGUGCUUUGCCAAUGAAGAAACCAAACACAAAUGGAUGGGUCUCUGCCUUUGUCACGUCGAGGAGCACAAAGAUAUGGAAUAAUGACUGAGAGUAGUGAAAAAGGAGGUACUGGUUUCUGAAAUGGAGAAGAAGCCUUGCUACCUUGCUGCCAUUUUUGUGAGAGAAGGAGAAGUUCAAAGCUUGGUGGAAUUACUUGGAGCUGCCAGUUUUGGAAGAGUUAGACUCAAAGAAUUCACAAAGGAAGUCUUCAAGAGGUAAGGAGUGCUAGAUUUUUCGUUUUGAUUAGUUAAUCUUACUGUUUUUGUAGAAAUCUAAAAGCUUUAGAGUUAAAAAUGGAGGUUUUCUGGUUUUCUGGAAAACCUGCGAUUCUGCAGAUUCGUCCAAUUUGGUUUCAAAUUGGACGUUCGUCCAAUUUGGUUUCAAAUUGGACGUUCGUCCAAGACUUGACAAAUUGAACGUUCGUCCACGUUGUUUUGAGCGCUCGUCUCUUUUUCUCUGUCGAGCGUUCGUUUCUGAACGUUCGUUCGUCUUAUUAACGAGCGCUCGUCCAAACAGUGUUGUCGAGCGUUCGUCCUUAAGUUACAUGUUGAGCGUUCGUUCUUAAAUAUUCUGAACGUUCGUCCUAACAGUAUAUGACCAAAUAUAGGUGGGUUUCUGAGCGUUCGUUCAUAUAUAGUGGAUUAACGAGCGUUGGUGAUAAGGAUUUGAGUAGAGAGCGUCUGUGUGCGCCUGUGAACGUUCGUUCAUUCCAGGUAAGGGAAGCUUACUUAAUUUAACUGUUUUUGAUGUAUGCCUGUGUGAACGUUCGUUAUUUGAUUGUAUGAAUAUAAUGCAUGAUAUUGGAUUCUGAGAUGCAUGAACGUUCGUUUGUAAGGAAUGAAAAUGAUAUAUGACUAUGUUACAUGUGAUUUUAAUGAGAUUUUGAACUGGAAAGUAUAUGGAAUGAAAUAAGAAAACAAUCCCCUGUAAUUACGUACGUUCAUUGCUGAACGGUCUCUGACCGUUCGGUUUCUCUGAUGAAAAUAACAGAAGUGGGAUUUGUUCAUUUGGAUCGAUCCCUUGUUGAGGACGAGCGUCCUCGUGUCUAAAGUCUACCAGCGUUCGGUAUCACACUGAGCGUUCGUCCAAAUAGUGCUCAGUUUUGAAAUAGCGUUCGUCCAAAUAGUGCUCAGUUUUGAAAUAGCGUUCGUCCAAAUAGUGCUCGGUUUUGAAAGAGCGUUCGUCCAAAUAGUGCUCGGUUUUGAAAGAGCGUUCGUCCAAAUAGUGCUCAGUUUUGAAAUAGCGUUCGUCCAAAUAGUGCUCAGUUUUGAAAUAGCGUUCGUCUAAAUAGUGCUCGGUUUUGAAAGAGCGUUCGUCCAAAUAGUGCUCGGUUUUGAGCUGAACGUUCAUCCAAAUAGUGCUCGGUAUUGUUUUGAGCGCUCGUUCUCAUUUUCCACAAAAUAGCGUUCGUUAUUUGAUACGAACGAGCGUCUUUGGUCUCGCUCUUAGCGUUCGUUCUUUGAUCCGAACGAGCGUCUUUUUGUCUCGCAAAACAGUGUUCGUUCUCGUUCCCCUUGUGAUGAAACGUUCGGUAUUUAAAUGAUGAAUAGUUCAUGAUGAACAGUAAAUGAUGAAUAGUAAAAUGACAAAAAUUAUAUGAUGAAGAUUGCAAGAGAUGAAUGGAAAUAUUGUGACUUUUGAAAGAACGUUCCCUUUUAAUGGCUUCCUUAUGAAUGAUGAAAAUGAUUAUGGAAUGAUGACUAGUGAAUUAUGAAUAUAUGAUCAAAAGUGAAUGAUGAACAAUAUUUGCAAUGAUAUGAAAGUUAUGAAUAUUGAACGAGCGUUCCAGGCAGGAACGACUCAUGGUUGAAUGUGGAAAGUUGUAAAGUAUGACUGUGGAUAGUUAAUGCUGGCUGUUCAUCCUGAUGUUCCGUGAGUGCUCAUUCUCAAGUAGAGGACGCACGUCAUGCGUGGGAACGGCAGGAGGUCCUUAGUCCAUAAGUUAACGUGGGCGACGUAAGAACGGACUAACCUCGGGUGGCAGCUGAUGAGGAUGCCAGUUACCACACCACCCGGGUGCGUGAACGCCUGUAACUACGCAGAUUUCAUACAGUCCGGACAGUCAGUCGUGUUGAGUUUUAUUUUGUACAUGCGUUAAAUUAUGUGAUGUAUGAUGAAUGUGUACGUUGAUAUGUAUGUGUGAAAUGAACUGUUUGCUAGAAAUUAUAUGUUGAUGCACGAGUUAAAUUACGUAAGCUUACCCUUUCGUUUUCCUUGUGUUGUCAAUUGUCCUUGUACGUCCGUCUUGUCAUUGCGAUGAUCAUCCGUGUGGAUGUGAGCAGAGGGAGACGAGCGUUUGGAAGAAAUGCUGAAUGAAGAGAACCUGAUUAAUGUUGAAGUGAAGACCGAACAGUGAGACCGCUCGGCCAGUAGUGUGAUUGUUGGAUUGAAUGGUCGUUCGACCAUCUCUCGUUUUCAUUUAAGUUUAUUUUGGACCGUUCGGUAAAUGUUUUCUGUAAACCGUUCGGUCAGGUUUUUAUUUUGUGCGUUCGACUUCGGAUUGUGAUUCGUGUUGUAAGGUGUACGGCUUGGCUUUUGUUUUUUUUUUAGCGAAAAACUGUACUGAAUUAUUAUUAAAUGUGACUUUCUGAAUUUAUAGUUAUGACUGUAUUUUUG